rnacentral:rRNA from 1 species
CCUACGGGCGGCAGCAGUAGGGAAUAUUGCUCAAUGGGGGAAACCCUGAAGCAGCAACGCCGCGUGGAGGAUGAAGGUUUUCGGAUUGUAAACUCCUUUUGUUAGAGAAGAUAAUGACGGUAUCUAACGAAUAAGCACCGGCUAACUCCGUGCCAGCAGCCGCGGUAAUACGGAGGGUGCAAGCGUUACUCGGAAUCACUGGGCGUAAAGAGCGCGUAGGCGGGAUAGCAAGUCAGAUGUGAAAUCCUAUGGCUUAACCAUAGAACUGCAUUUGAAACUGUUAUUCUAGAGAAUGGGAGAGGUAGGUGGAAUUAUUGGUGUAGGGGUAAAAUCCGUAGAGAUCAAGAGGAAUACUCAUUGCGAAGGCGACCUGCUAGAACAUAACUGACGCUGAUGCGCGAAAGCGUGGGGAGCAAACAGGAUUAGAUACCCUAGUAGUC